GACGAACGCUGGCGGCGUGCCUAAUACAUGCAAGUAGAACGCUGAAGGAGGAGCUUGCUUCUCUGGAUGAGUUGCGAACGGGUGAGUAACGCGUAGGUAACCUGCCUGGUAGCGGGGGAUAACUAUUGGAAACGAUAGCUAAUACCGCAUAAGAGUAGAUGUUGCAUGACAUUUGCUUAAAAGGUGCAAUUGCAUCACUACCAGAUGGACCUGCGUUGUAUUAGCUAGUUGGUGAGGUAACGGCUCACCAAGGCAACGAUACAUAGCCGACCUGAGAGGGUGAUCGGCCACACUGGGACUGAGACACGGCCCAGACUCCUACGGGAGGCAGCAGUAGGGAAUCUUCGGCAAUGGACGGAAGUCUGACCGAGCAACGCCGCGUGAGUGAAGAAGGUUUUCGGAUCGUAAAGCUCUGUUGUAAGAGAAGAACGAGUGUGAGAGUGGAAAGUUCUCACUGUGACGGUAUCUUACCAGAAAGGGACGGCUAACUACGUG
rnacentral:rRNA from 1 species